AUGAACGCUGGCGGCGUGCCUCAUACAUGCAAGUCGAGCGAACAGAUGAGGAGCUUGCUCCUCUGACGUUAGCGGCGGACGGGUGAGUAACACGUGGAUAACCUACCUAUAAGCCUGGGAUAACUUCGGGAAACCGGAGCUAAUACCGGAUAAUAUAUUGAACCGCAUGGUUCAAUAGUGAAAGACGGUUUUGCUGUCACUUAUAGAUGGAUCCGCGCCGCAUUAGCUAGUUGGUAAGGUAACGGCUUACCAAGGCAACGAUGCGUAGCCGACCUGAGAGGGUGAUCGGCCACACUGGAACUGAGACACGGUCCAGACUCCUACGGGAGGCAGCAGUAGGGAAUCUUCCGCAAUGGGCGAAAGCUUGACGGAGCAACGCCGCGUGAGUGAUGAAGGUCUUCGGAUCGUAAAACUCUGUUAUUAGGGAAGAACAAAUGUGUAAGUAACUAUGCACGUCUUGACGGUACCUAAUCAGAAAGCCACGGCUAACUACGUG
rnacentral:rRNA from 1 species